AAAAAACAAAAACAAGCAAUUGCAAAACGAAUUAUUGUCUCAUUCAGUGCAGCUUGCCAGUUAGAACAGGGAGUGAAUACGACAAAGAGUGCCUUUAAUAUGUAAAUGUUUAUAAAAUUACAACACAUGUACAAAUUUGAAUUCAAUUUGAAUAUUUUUAGUAUUCAUAUAACAUAUGCGGUGUCAAUAUUUGCUCCCAGUGGCUACAGAAAGGUCAUACGUUGUACUUCAUCUUGUUAAAUGUCUUCGCUCCAACCACAAAUCUGGAUGAAUAGCAUACCAGGGAUUAGGUUUUUAGAUUGCCAAGAACAAAAUUUCAUUAAACAUGUUAAAAAGUUGAGGGGGGGGGGAUAAUUAGAUAUUCGUACCCACUCCAAAAACUGGGGGGACUCGUCCCCCCCCCCAUCCCCCCAGGAUUGACGCCCAUGAGCAUGCCUGCUAGGGACAUGCCUUCAAAAAUAAUUAACACUUAUUUACUUUGAGCGAAGGAAACAGUAUGUUUUUCGAGAAGCGAGGGAAUGUGGGAUUGUUCACCAGUGGCUUAGCAAGCUCGAUAAUUCGGGGGGGGGGCUAAAAUUCAUAUAUUCGUGUUCUGCAUUAUUAAUUUCUUUUGAAAUCAAUUGUGUUGGAUUGUAGCUCAUCUGAACUAAACAGUAGGUAGAACUACUUGCUGACGUGUACUGAAUGCUAAUGAGGAAAAUUGUUAAAAUAUUUCAAGAUAUUGGCAAAAUUUCGAGAUGCAAGAAAGGUAAAGAGAAGAAAAAUAUUAUGUGACUCGUGCAGGCAUGACUAUAGACAUAACAUAUAAGUAUUCUUUAUUAAAAACUCGGUCAUCCCACAGCUGUCCAUCCUAUCCAGCCACUUAUUGCUCUCAACUAUUUAUAGGAAGCUGCAAAGAGUCUAUAUCCCAGAAGAGUUGUCGCUACGUGCGUGAUGCAUAUAUUAUGGAAUACCUGUCAAAAUAUUUGUACUUUAUGGCAGAAAAGUUAUUUGCAUGUAAGCACCUUACCUAAGUGGGUGUGUUAAACUGGGCAAGAAACCAAAUUUUAAACACACAUCUCUCUUCUAAAUAUUCUUUGCGUUUGUACAGUCCCUUAUCUAAAAAUUAACGUACCUAUUUAGUCUAGAAAAUCUACAAUUUACUACUGUUAACGAAUAGAUCAGUCCCGUUCAUUUCACGUUUGACACUUAACAAAUAUAAAACAUUGUCCGUGUUGAUAUACAGUUAUAUCAACACGAGUGGGAAUUGGGAAAACGAG